AGAAAGAGUGUCUCACAGACUUUAUUUAGACCCUUGAAGAAUGUCCGCCUCCCUCCCAGUCAAUGCCACAAGUCUUUCUCCACAUCUAGUAUUCCCAAGGUGAAUGUAAUGUUUUAUGGCGUGUUGGAGAGGACAAGAGGGAUGCUUUCCAACACCAGCGCCUUACAGAAAAGUCUUGAAAAUAUGAAGUUAAAUGACAUUACCCCAUCUCACACACAUGUAAAAGUUAACAUUAUGUAUCAGCUUUUUUUUUAACAUUUACAAGCAGACCCAGAUGGGAAUCUGCUGGUGUUUUCUGCGGUGAUUUUGAAAAAUCUGCGGAAUGGAUUUAAACACACUUUAAGUGCUUAAACUACAUUUAUGUUAAAACAAAAAUAAAUAAAUAAUUAAAUUAACCAAAUGCUUAAAAUCAACAUGAAUUGGUAUUUGCAACCCAUUAUUUUCAGCAAUUGCAUGUAUUUUCAAGUAAAACAGCAUGCUCAAGGAGAAUAAAUGUGGCAUAGGACUUUAUUUAACCAACUGAAAAUUAAGUAGUUCAUGAAAAGCAAGAAUGAAGCUAGGUACUAUUUAGUUAAUUUUAUCCAAUAGCCCACAUGGCCCUAUAGAAGCCUGUUUUCAUCCUGGAAUAAUUUUUUUUUUCUCACAAUUUUGAGUUUAUAUCUUGCAAUUCAUGACUUUCAUGUCAUUAUGGACCUGUGUAACACAAUUUUCUUUUUUUUUUUUCUUUUUUUUUUUAAAAAGCUUCCAUACCUAAGUGACAUUAGCAGAAAAAAAAACUGCUUCAGAGGAAAAAGUUCUCCAGCUCUGGGUCAAGACCCUCAUAACGCUGUUUCCUCAGCCAGGCUGGGUCGUGCAGAUUUCUCUUGGAGAGAGAGUCUCCAGCUGCCAUCACACAAAAACAUCUUCACAUGCGUGCAGCAGCAGCAGCCAUGGUGAGCUACAUCAAACAGGGCUGGUCAGGCACCCCAUAGACUUUCAACUUCAGAGCCACAUCCAGACUUUUCUUUUGACUCCCUCUGUCUCCAAGACCACCACACAGGGUCAGAGAGCACUGUACACGGUCCUAGGGACUUUUCAUGGCAGUUCCUCAGAGACGAGAUGGCAAAACAAUCAGGAUUCCAGACUAAUGGAACAGGAAGACAUUUAUUAUGGACAACUUUGGCAGUGGGAAAGACAGCAGCAGAGUAUCUGGGAGCUGUCGUGGACACCUCUACCUCUGCGUUUCUGCUGGUGUGAAUGUAGCAAGAUUCCUGCAGCUGACCGCAGCUCUUCCGAUGACAGGUUGGAUUCAAACAAAGCUGCAUGUCUCAGCACUGACUUUUACAAGGAUCUACAAUUACUUCUGUGGCAUGUUUAAGAAUAUGGACCAAAUGCUUAGAAGGUCACACCUGGGAGAGCUGCAGCCUGCCCUGGGCUAUGAGAGGCUGUUGACAGCUUGA
ensembl:lncRNA